CUGUUAAUGGGAAGAAAUCCACAUCUUUUGCUUGUUUUGAAGCCACUGCUGCUGAUAAAACAACUGUGUCACCAUAUCUUACUAAAACAGCACCAUUUGCUUGUUUAGCUAGUUGGCCAAUUUCAACUGAUAAAGGACGUCCGCCCCAAGUUGUUUCGAAAACUCUUUUUUCAGAAUUUAACAUUUUAUAAUCUCCUUAUGUCACACAAAUGAUAAGUUCUACUAAACAAAUGUCAAAAUUUUAGGAAAAACCCUCACAUUUGUAUAGUAGUG
rnacentral:antisense_RNA from 1 species